CCUACGGGUGGCAGCAGUGGGGAAUAUUGCGCAAUGGGCGAAAGCCUGACGCAGCGACGCCGCGUGAGGGAUGAAGGUACUCGGAUCGUAAACCUCUGUCAGCCGGGAAGAACGGUCACUGUGCUAAUCAGCAGUGAAUUUACGGUACCUGCAAAGGAAGCACCGGCUAACUCCGUGCUAGCAGCCGCGGUAAUACGGAGGGUGCGUGCGUUAAUCGGAAUUACUGGGCGUAAAGCGCGCGUAGGCGGUAUGUCAAGUCAAGGGUGAAAUCCCCGCGCUCAACGUGGGAACUGCCUUUGAAACUGGCAGACUGGAGUGUGUGAGAGGAUAGGGGAAUUCCAGGUGUAGGAGUGGA
rnacentral:rRNA from 1 species